rnacentral:rRNA from 1 species
GAAUGGCUCAUUAAACCAGUUAUAGUUUAUUUGAUAAUCAAAAUUACAUGGAUAACCGUGGUAAUUCUAGAGCUAAUACAUGCUGGUUAGCCUGACUUUUGCGGAAGGGCUGUAUUUAUUAGAUAACAAACCAAUAUUCCCCGUGUCUAUUGUGACGAAUCAUAAUAACUGAUCGAAUCGCAUGGGCUUUGCCCGCGAUACAUCAUUCAAGUUUCUGCCCCAUCAGCUUUCGAUGGUAGUGUAUUGGACUACCAUGGCGUUCACGGGUAACGGAGGAUUAGGGUUCGAUUCCGGAGAGGGAGCCUGAGAAACGGCUACCACAUCUAAGGAAGGCAGCAGGCGCGUAAAUUACCCAAUCCUGACUCAGGGAGGUAGUGACAAGAAAUAACGGACCGAAGCCUAUGUUUCGGGAUUGCAAUGAGUAGAAUUUACACCCCUUUACGAGGAUCAAUUGGAGGGCAAGUCUGGUGCCAGCAGCCGCGGUAAUUCCAGCUCCAAUAGCAUAUAUUAAAGUUGUUGCAGUUAAAAAGCUCGUAGUUGGAUUUCUGGGAGGGCGCCAAUGUCCGCUCGUUGCGUGUGCAGCGGUGCCCUUCCAUCCUUCUGUUAACGUCUCUGAUAUUCAUUUAUUGGUUUCGGGCUCAGAUAUUUUACCUUGAGAAAAUUAGAGUGUUCCAGGCAGGCUUGCGCCGGAAUACAUUAGCAUGGAAUAAUAGAAUAGGACUUUAGUCUCCUUUGUUGGUUUGAGGGACUGAAGUAAUGAUUAAUAGGGAUAGUUGGGGGCAUUAGUAUUUAAUUGUCAGAGGUGAAAUUCUCGGAUUUGUUAAAGACUAACUUAUGCGAAAGCAUUUGCCAAGGAUGUUUUCAUUAAUCAAGAACGAAAGUUAGGGGAUCAAAGACGAUCAGAUACCGUCCUAGUCUUAACCAUAAACUAUGCCGACUAGGGAUCGGAGGCGCGCCUUAUCCGCCUUCGGCACCUUAUGAGAAAUCAAAGUCUUUGGGUUCUGGGGGGAGUAUGGUCGCAAGGCUGAAACUUAAAGGAAUUGACGGAAGGGCACCACCAGGAGUGGAGCUUGCGGCUCAAUUUGACUCAACACGGGAAAACUUACCAGGUCCAGACAUAGUGAGGAU